rnacentral:rRNA from 1 species
UACAGAGGGGGCAAGCGUUAUUCGGAAUUAUUGGGCGUAAAGGGUGCGUAGGCGGCGCGGUAAGUCGGGUGUGAAAUCUCGGAGCUUAACUUCGAAACUGCAUUCGAUACUGCCGUGCUUGAGGACUGGAGAGGAGACUGGAAUUUACGGUGUAGCGGUGAAAUGCGUAGAUAUCGUAAGGAAGACCAGUGGCGAAGGCGGGUCUCUGGACAGUUCCUGACGCUGAGGCACGAAGGCCAGGGGAGCAAACGGG